AAACUGAUGAUUGAAGCUUGCUUCAUGAUUCAGACCUUGGUGAGUGGCGGACGGGUGAGUAACACGUGGGUAACCUGCCCAGAAGUGGGGGAUAACAUUUGGAAACAAGUGCUAAUACCGCAUAACAACAUUUAUCUCAUGAUUUAUGUUUAAAAGAUGGUUCUGCUAUCUCUUCUGGAUGGACCCGCGGCGUAUUAGCUAGUUGGUGAGGUAAUAGCUCACCAAGGCGAUGAUACGUAGCCGACCUGAGAGGGUAAUCGGCCACAUUGGGACUGAGACACGGCCCAAACUCCUACGGGAGGCAGCAGUAGGGAAUCUUCCACAAUGGACGAAAGUCUGAUGGAGCAACGCCGCGUGAGUGAAGAAGGUUUUCGGAUCGUAAAACUCUGUUGUUGAAGAAGAACAUAUGUGAGAGUAACUGUUCACGUACUGACGGUAUUCAACCAGAAAGCCACGGCUAACUACGUGCCAGCAGCCGCGGUAAUACGUAGGUGGCAAGCGUUGUCCGGAUUUAUUGGGCGUAAAGAGAAUGUAGGCGGUUCAUUAAGUUUGAAGUGAAAGCCCUCGGCUCAGCCGAGGAAGUGCUUCGAAAACUGGUGAACUUGAGUGCAGAAGAGGAAAGUGGAACUCCAUGUGUAGCGGUGGAAUGCGUAGAUAUAUGGAAGAACACCAGUGGCGAAGGCGGCU
rnacentral:rRNA from 1 species